rnacentral:rRNA from 1 species
GACGAACGCUGGCGGCGUGCUUAACACAUGUAAGUGGAGCGACGAACCAGGCUUCGGCCUGGGGCAGAGCCGCGAACGGGUGAGUAACACGUGGGUAACGUGCCCCGAUGACCGGGACAACCCGGGGAAACCCGGGCUAAUACCGGAUGUGCCCUCCUCACACCAGUGAGACGGGGAAAGGAAGCUUCGGCCUCCGCAUCGGGAUCGGCCCGCGGCCCAUUAGCUUGUUGGUGAGGUAAGAGCUCACCAAGGCUGCGAUGGGUAGCUGGUCUGAGAGGACGAUCAGCCACACUGGGACUGAGACACGGCCCAGACUCCUACGGGAGGCAGCAGUGGGGAAUCUUGCGCAAUGCGCGACAGCGUGACGCAGCAACGCCGCGUGGGGGAAGAAGGCCUUCGGGUUGUAAACCCCUUUCAGGAGGGACGAAGCCCGGGCCGUUAAUAGCGGUCCCGGGUGACGGUACCUCCACAAGAAGCCCCGGCUAACUACGUGCCAGCCGCCGCCGCGGUAA